UUUAGUGUGCUAGAAGGAGAUGGAGUAUACGCAUUCAUAAAUUCAAAUAUGACUUUAGAAAAUUUUACGCCAUUAAAUUUUCCAAUUUUCAGACGCUAAGAGAUCGAUUGAAUACAAUCCGGCUCAGUAGUAAAUUUAAAGCACUAAAAAAUGAAGAAAUAAUAAGGUUCGUUUGAAUGUAUUGCGGACCAGCUGCAGAUUCCAAUUGUAAGAAAAACUGGGAAAAAAAAGACUCGAUAUGGCCACUACAUCACCGCAUCUUGACUGGCUAACCAUUUGUAAAAAGAAUUAAUUUUGGAAGUAUCGUUAUCUAAAGCGGCCCUUUAGCAGAUAACCAACGGGAGUGCUAUAGAAAACGAAAUCUUCAACUUGAGGUUAAAUGUUUUGUCAUCGUUGUCUUUGUCUACCACGUCCCCGCAUCAUAACUGUUUGGUCAUUCUCAAAAACAAUUCGUUUCUGUUGAAGAACUCCUUCAGUACGUCAAUUGGACCAACGUGAGCUCUUUCCACUACAGUGGUUUGAUCGCCAGUUGCCGUCAAUGACUUCAAUGAAAAUGUUAAGAAAAUAAGAUCAAAAACUUUUCGUGGCAAUUAUUAGCCGUGCGUCUCUUAUUUUUUAAAAUUUUCCCAAAAAACAAAAAAAAGGAAAACACAUAAUAAAUUUUCCAGCAAGCUAUGGCAUUCUUGGCGGCAGAUAAACAAGAGCUGGUAAUGUCGUUGAUCUUCUAUAAUUUUAUGAAUGCAGCAUGAAAUUCAACUGUGCAGAAGACUCGAAGAGUAUUUUCGUUGUAUGCACUUAACACCUUAGGAGGUACCAGAUUAUUUAUUUGCGGUUUCGAAA